UACGGGGGGUGCAAGCGUUAAUCGGAGUAACUGGGCGUAAAGGGUCUGUAGGUGGUUUGUCAAGUCUUUGGUAAAACGCCGUGGCUCAACCAUGGUUUGGCCAAGGAGACUGGGAGACUGGAGGCUGGGAGAGGGAAGCGGAAUUUCUGGUGUAGCGGUGAAAUGCGUAGAGAUCAGAAAGAAGGCCGGUGGCGAAGGCGGCUUCCUGGAACAGACCUGACACUGAGAGACGAAAGCGUGGGGAGCAAACAGG
rnacentral:rRNA from 1 species